rnacentral:rRNA from 1 species
UGGGGAAUUUUGGACAAUGGGCGAAAGCCUGAUCCAGCAAUGCCGCGUGUGUGAAGAAGGCCUUCGGGUUGUAAAGCACUUUUGUCCGGAAAGAAAUCCUUGGCUCUAAUACAGUCGGGGGAUGACGGUACCGGAAGAAUAAGCACCGGCUAACUACGUGCCAGCAGCCGCGGUAAUACGUAGGGUGCAAGCGUUAAUCGGAAUUACUGGGCGUAAAGCGUGCGCAGGCGGUUUGCUAAGACCGAUGUGAAAUCCCCGGGCUCAACCUGGGAACUGCAUUGGUGACUGGCAGGCUAGAGUAUGGCAGAGGGGGGUAGAAUUCCACGUGUAGCAGUGAAAUGCGUAGAGAUGUGGAGGAAUACCGAUGGCGAAGGCAGCCCCCUGGGCCAAUACUGACGCUCAUGCACGAAAGCGUGGGGGAGCAAAACAGGAUUAGAUACCCCUGGUAGUCCACGCCCUAAACGAUGUCAACUAGUUGUUGGGGAUUCAUUUCCUUAGUAACGUAGCUAACGCGUGAAGUUGACCGCCUGGGGAGUACGGUCGCAAGAUUAAAACUCAAAUGAAUUGACGGGGUCAUAGCUGUUUCCU